GAUGAACGCUGGCGGCGUGCCUAAUACAUGCAAGUCGAGCGAACAGACGAGGAGCUUGCUCCUCUUACGUUAGCGGCGGACGGGUGAGUAACACGUGGAUAACCCACCUAUAAGACUGGGAUAACUUCGGGAAACCGGAGCUAAUACCGGAUAAUAUAUUGAACCGCAUGGUUCAAUAGUGAAAGACGGUUUUGCUGUCACUUAUAGAUGGAUCCGCGCCGCAUUAGCUAGUUGGUAAGGUAACGGCUUACCAAGGCAACGAUGCGUAGCCGACCUGAGAGGGUGAUCGGCCACACUGGAACUGAGACACGGUCCAGACUCCUACGGGAGGCAGCAGUAGGGAAUCUUGCGCAAUGGGCGAAAGCUUGACGGAGCAACGCCGCGUGAGUGAUGAAGGUCUUCGGAUCGUAAAACUCUGUUAUUAGGGAAGAACAAAUGUGUAAGUAACUAUGCACGUCUUGACGGUACCUAAUCAGAAAGCCACGGCUAACUACGUG
rnacentral:rRNA from 1 species